rnacentral:rRNA from 1 species
UUAAACUAAAGAGUUUGAUCCUGGCUCAGAUUGAACGCUGGCGGCAUGCCUUACACAUGCAAGUCGAACGGCAGCACGGAGC